rnacentral:rRNA from 1 species
UGAGUACGAGACGCUAAGGCGUCGAAGUAGUGUAUGUCAUACUUCCAAGAAAAGCUUGCACUGUCAUUCAUAAAAAAUGCUUGUACCAUAACCGACACAGGUGGGUAGGUAGAGUAUACUAAGGGGCGCGAGAUAACUCUCUCUAAGGAACUCAGCAAAAUAACUCCGUAACUUCGGGAGAAGGAGUGCCUUAUUUAUAUAAGGUUGCAAUAACAAGAUCCAAGCAACUGUUUACCAAAAACACAGGUCUCCGCUAAGUCGUAAGACGAUGUAUGGGGGCUGACGCCUGCCCAGUGCCAGAAGGUUAAAGAAGUUGGUUAGCAAUAGCGAAGCUGAUAACUGAAGCCCUGGUGAACGGCGGCCGUAACAAUAACGGUCCUAAGGUAGCGAAAUUCCUUGUCGGGUAAGUUCCGACCCGCACGAAAGGCGUAAUGAUUUGGAUACUGUCUCGGAGAGGGACUCGGUGAAAUAGACUUGUCUGUGAAGAUGCGGACUACCUGCACCUGGACAGAAAGACCCUAUGAAGCUUUACUGUAACUUGAAAUUGAAAUUGGACUUUAUUCGCGCAGUAUAGGUGGGAGGCGUUGAAAAUAAUCUUGCGGGACUAUUGGAGCCAUCAGUGAGAUACCACUCUUAUAAUGUUAGAUUUCUAACUUUGAAUCAUUAUCUGGUCAAAGAACAGUUUCAGGCGGGCAGUUUGACUGGGGCGGUCGCCUCCCAAACGGUAACGGAGGCGUACAAAGGUUUCCUCUGAACGGGUAGAAAUCGUAUCUAGAGUAUAAAGGCAAAAGGAAGCUUGACUGUGAGACCUACAAGUCGAGCAGGGACGAAAGUCGGUCUUAGUGAUCUGACGGUACUGAGUGGAAAGGCCGUCACUCAACGGAUAAAAGUUACUCUAGGAUAACAGGCUGAUCUCCCCCAAGAGUUCACAUCGACGGGGAGGUUUGGCACCUCGAUGUCGGCUCAUCGCAUCCUGGGGCGGUAGUACGUCCCAAGGGUUGGGCUGUUCGCCCAUGAAAGCGGUACGCGAGCUGGGUUCAGAACGUCGUGAGACAGUUCGGUCCAUAUCCGGUGUAGGCGUUAGAAUAUUGAGAGGAGCCUUCUUUAGUACGAGAGGACCGAGAAGGACAUACCUCUGGUGUACCAGUUAUCGUGCCAACGGUAAACGCUGGGUAGCUAUGUAUGGAGUGGAUAACCGCUGAAAGCAUCUAAGUGGGAAGCCCACCUCAAGAUGAGUAUUCUCAG